UCCGGUUGAUCCUGCCAGAGGCUACUGCCAUCAGAGUUCGAUUAAGCCAUGUUAGUCGAGGGUACCUCCUCUUCUUCGGAGGAUGAGGUAACCCGGCGGACGGCUCAGUAACACGUGGAUAACUUGCCCUUGGGUCUGGGAUAACCCCUGGGAAACUGGGGCUAAUACCGGAUAGAUCAGGGAUGCUGGAAUGCACCUUGAUCCAAAGCUCCGGCGCCCAAGGAUGGGUCUGCGGCCUAUCAGGUAGUAGUGGGUGUAACGUACCUACUAGCCAACGACGGGUACGGGUUGUGAGAGCAAGAGCCCGGAGAUGGAUUCUGAGACACGAAUCCAGGCCCUACGGGGUGCAGCAGGCGCGAAACCUUUACAAUGGUGCGACACCUUAAUAGGGAAACUCCGAGUGCCAGUAUCUAAUAUCCUGGCUGUCCUUGCGCCUAAAAACCCACAAGAUAGCAAGGGCCGGGUAAGACCGGUGCCAGCCGCCGCGGUAACACCGGCGGCCCGAGUGGUAGCCGCUAUUAUUGGGUCUAARGGGUCCGUAGCCGGUUCGAUAAGUCCUCUGGGAAAUCUGGUUGCUUAACAAUCAGACUGCCAAGGGAUACUGUCGAACUUGAGACCGGGAGAGGUAAGAGGUACUUCAGUGGUAGGAGUGAAAUCUUGUAAUCCCUGGGGGACCAUCUGUGGCGAAGGCGUCUUACCAGAACGGGUCUGACGGUGAGGGACGAAAGCUGGGGGCGCAAACCGGAUUAGAUACCCGGGUAGUCCCAGCCGUAAACGAUGCUCGCUAUGUGUCAGGUACGGUGUGACCGUAUCUGGUGCCGUAGGGAAGCCGUGAAGCGAGCCACCUGGGAAGUACGGUCGCAAGACUGAAACUUAAAGGAAUUGGCGGGGGAGCACUACAACGGGUGGAGCCUGCGGUUUAAUUGGAUUCAACGCCGGG
rnacentral:rRNA from 1 species